rnacentral:tRNA from 1 species
UCGGUCGGCGGGUCGAAGGUGGCGGUGUCGCCGUUCAGGUCGGCGACGUGGAUCUGCGCCAGGCGGGUCGCGGCUUCAAUGGCCGUCUGGGCGGAC